CGGGUGGAGCCGCUGCAGGUGCAGAUUCUUGGUGGUAGUAGCAAAUAUUCAAACGAGAACUUUGAAAGCCUAAGUGGAGAAGGGUUCCAUAU
rnacentral:miRNA from 1 species